AUUGAACGCUGGCGGCAUGCGUUACACAUGCAAAUCGAACGGUAACGGGCCUUCGGGUGCCGACGAGUGGCGAACGGGUGAGUAAUACAUCGGAACGUGCCCGAUCGUGGGGGAUAACGAGGCGAAAGCUUUGCUAAUACCGCAUACGAUCUACGGAUGAAAGCAGGGGACCGCAAGGCCUUGCGCGGACGGAGCGGCCGAUGGCAGAUUAGGUAGUUGGUGGGAUAAAAGCUUACCAAGCCGACGAUCUGUAGCUGGUCUGAGAGGAUGAUCAGCCACACUGGGACUGAGACACGGCCCAGACUCCUACGGGAGGCAGCAGUGGGGAAUUUUGGACAAUGGGCGCAAGCCUGAUCCAGCCAUGCCGCGUGCAGGAUGAAGGCCUUCGGGUUGUAAACUGAUUUUGUACGGAACGAAAAGCCUUCUUUUAAUACAGGAGGGUCAUGACGGUACCGUAAGAAUAAGCACCGGCUAACUACGUG
rnacentral:rRNA from 1 species